AUUGAACGCUGGCGGCAGGCCUAACACAUGCAAGUCGAGCGGAUGAAGGGAGCUUGCUCCUGGCUUCAGCGGCGGACGGGUGAGUAAUGCCUAGGAAUCUGCCUGGUCGUGGGGGCUAACGUCCGGACACGGGCGCUAAUACCGCAUACGUCCUGAGGGUGAACGUGGGGGAUCUUCGGACCUCACGCUAUCAGAUGAGCCUAGGUCGGAUUAGCUAGUUGGUGGGGUAAAGGCGUACCAAGGCGACGAUCCGUAACUGGUCUGAGAGGAUGAUCAGUCACACUGGAACUGAGACACGGUCCAGACUCCUACGGGAGGCAGCAGUGGGGAAUAUUGGACAAUGGGCGAAAGCCUGAUCCAGCCAUGCCGCGUGUGUGAAGAAGGUCUUCGGAUUGUAAAGCACUUUAAGUUGGGAGGAAGGGCAGUAAGUUAAUACCUUGCUGUUUUGACGUUACCAACAGAAUAAGCACCGGCUAACUUCGUG
rnacentral:rRNA from 1 species